UUGCCGCCUCUCACCUCCCCCAAUCCCGUAUCUCUUGCCGCCUCUCUCCUCCAAUCCCACUCCCCGUUCUUCAAACUGUCGAUGCCGCACCGCCAUGCAUAUUACUCCCGGGGUUCCCCAUCCCUUAUGCUCGUUGUUUUCUUCUCUGCCUCCCGGAAUACUCAGUUUCCGCUGCCCUGCUCGCUCGCCGUCGCCGGUACUGCCGAGUCGCCCGCUCAACGUCGCCGAAACGAGGAAACUGCAACCCCUGUCGGCGUGUUCGCUCGCCGUGCCAGGAUUGCGUGGAGGCCGCUUACCCUGCCGGCACGCCCGCUCGCCGUCUUCGACCGCUUCGAGGUGGCACCCCCUGCGGGCAAGCUCGGUCGGGAACUGCAGCGCCGCCUCACGAUCGCGCGGACAGUUCGUCUUGGUCUGCGCUGCCUUUUCCCCUUCAAAAGACCGAUAUGGCUAAAUUAUGUAUAAUUCAGAAUUUCAAAUGCUGCUACAGUGUCUGUUAUUGUCAGAUAAUGCUUGGAAAAAAGUCUAUAAAACAUGCUCUUUGCACCUAUUAUAGCAACAGACAUGUGUACCAAUUCCGCAGGCUGUUGCAAACGGGGGCACUAGAAAGUAGAAACUAGCAAAGUUGCCAAAGAUCACUGAUUCUGAUAUUACAUUAACCAAAAGAACUUCUAGAGGGAGGAGGCCACACCAAAAGAACAAUUAAUUUUUUUCUUUUUUUUCGAAAAUGGGGGACUCCCCGGCCUCUGCAUCAGAACGAUGCAUACAGCCAAGAAAAAAAGAACAAUUAAUGAGUUGAGAAAUGUGAAUGAGCGCUUGAUCCCAUUGUUCCCUGCGUUUAUUCCUUUUGACAGAGUUUGGGAGUUCACCCUAGAUAAUGAUACACAUGUUGGUAAGUGCUUAAGUUUUCUUUUGUUCGUUCUAACUGUUCUUUUGUAACAAAUUAACUAUUAAUAUUUUUCUGUUCAAAUGUUAGAUGUUAUUGGCAUGGUUUUAUUUGUAAGUUCUAUGGGUUAUAAAGACGGUUUCUACAAUCGGAGGAUCCCAGUGAGAAAUAUUGUUCUGCUAGAUGACACGUAUGUGUAUCUUAUGAUUUUCAGUUAUCGAAAUGAGUCAAAGUUCUUACAUUUCUCUUCUAUAUUAAUUGAUUUUGUAGCUAUAAUAUUGUCAAGUUAGUUGUAUGGGGCAAGUUGGUGACUAAUAAUCUAAGUGCACGGGAAAAACUCGCCCAGGAGCGUAUAAUUGUCGUGGCAACAAUGUUACGUGCAGAGCGCAUCGAUCGUGGCCUGCAUACUACAGACUUAAGUAGGAUGCACUUUAACCCGAACAUCACAGUAGUGCGUGAAUUAAGGCAGAGGAUCAACAAUGAUCUUCCUGGACAAUCACCUCCAUGAAUCAAAAGAAGAUGAAUAAUGGAGUCGUGAAGCAAAAGUGAAGUCUUAGAAUAAUAGGAUAAUGCGUUACUUAAGCUAGGUUAAGCUACUUUUGAACCGUGUUACUUCACUUUGCUUAAUUUUGGGUGUACGGUGCCGUGGACAAUGAUGGGAAGUGCUUUUGUGAUCCGUGUUGUAACUGAAUCUGAGUUUAACUUAUGAAGUGAAAUCUUAAGGUAGUGUAAUGCCAAGACCACUUGAACAACAUAUCAAGUUGGUGUGAUCUCUGGGUAAAGUAAAAUGUAACAGCUUGGAGGCAUGUUGAGUCGCAAAUAGUUGUUCACAUGUGUUA